GGAAAGAAUAAUGGACACUGCAAGAUAUGAAAUUCCACGUAGAAAUAAGAAACUCAUUGAGAGGAGAAGCUUCAUACAGUUCCCCAUCCCGUGUUUCUAUACACAUCCUAAGCUCCAGGCAUGAAGAAAUAUCUGGAGAGCCUGGGAAUCCCUCUGCAGUUCCAUAUUUUUCAUGUUGCUUCCUCUGG